CUUGACAGCCCCAUCCAGAGAACCUGCACCUUUACAAAACCACUCCAGGGUGAGGAUUUUUUGCCUUCUGUGUAACUGCAUCAUCCCCUGUGGUGAUACAGGACUGUUCCCUCUUGUGUGUUCACUGUGCCUGUCAGACACAGGUUUGCUCCUGUCCCCUUUGUAACCCCUGAAAAGGCCAUGGAAGAGCGCUGCCAGACUUCCAUCAACUCUCUCUGGCCUGACCAGGCUGUUCCCUCUGCUUACUUGAACUGUUAAAACACUUACACUGAGUAGAAUGGCUUUGCAGUGAUUUUAACUCUGCUUGUGUUCUUAAGGAAGAGCAGCAGCUGAAACCACCUUAACAAGGAGAUGUGCUAGAAGGUCUUUUCUGCUGAAAAAAGAAAAAAAAAAUGUUCAAAUUGUAAAAUGUGGACUGAAAAACGUAUCGGUUUCACAUACUAACCAUGCCAUGUGUAAAGCUAGUCUACUGUUUCCUAGACAAUGAGGCUUCAGAGAUGACUGUACCAUCAACAAAAUUAAAUCCCAACCUCUAUUCCAGGAAGCAAGCGAAGUUGUUAUUGCAGAUAAAUUUAAUUUGAGAACUUAAAAAUGCAAACAACUAAAUAAUACCAUCAUGUUCUAUUUGAGAAAAACAAAACAAUACUAAACUUCUGACCUUUUUGACAAAAAGGACACAUCUUGCAUAAGUGUUUCCCAGUCUGGGCGUUUUUUUGCCUGUGUUAUUUUUAUUCCUAGGUUAAACCUGACAGUUGUGCUCAGUAAUCAUUAUGCACUAAGCAUGAGCUGUUCUGAAGUGCUACCAGCGUCACUAGAUCUUGAGUUUUAUGUUGGUUUGGGGUUUUUUUCCAUAUAUCUCAUACAAACAACUCUGGGUAUACGCUUGAGGUUAUUCUCAGCAACAUUUUGCUCCAAAAUUCUCAAAGAGAAAAAGGACAGUUUUUAGGCCUUAAUUAAGGAUACAUUUUAAUUUUUUACAUCCAACAGCAAAAUGAAGCUUAAUUUAUGUAUCAUUCCAAGAUUAAAAAUAUUUACUAUAACUAAUUUUUAGAAAAACUUAAGUAUCUUAAUUUUAUUCACACUGCACAGUUUGGAACAGUAUUCUGAAACGUGGUGCAUCCAAUGAGGGACUGCAGAAAUGAUGUUAGACAAGUAAUGAAUUAGGCAAUUUAUUCUGCAGAAAGGAAUUGCACAUGGGGAAGUAGCUGUACAAAGCAUUCAUUCUUUGUCAGUGACUGCCUUAGAGCUUAGGAAGCUGUGGUUUAGCAUUCUGCUGAAUGAGCUCGUAGCAAAGCCCCAUCCCUAUUCCUCAUUUCCUGGCCUUCCCAUGGACAACUCAGGUCCUAGGAAGUGUGCACAAUGAAAUAAUCCCAAUUCUCUUGAGAAGCCAGCUGUGCCACCCAGUCUGAGCCUCUGAAGAAUCCUUUCUAGUGAUAUGUGUGCCAUUACUGCAAACAAUAAGAAGGAGACAACUAAAAGCAGCAAUUUUUAUUAGAUCAAUAACUCUGAAGCCCAGAAGUAGCACAAGUGAUUUUUUGUUUCUAUUCUAAGAAAAAUAAAUUCCAAUUUCUGGAAGCCAUUCCUCAAUCUCUGAGCUUCAUGAGCUUUCAUCAUAUAUAGUUUGUCUCUUUACUACUAUAAAUGCAAAAAAAGGGGCAAAGUAUUAAUAUAAGCAGUUCUCACUUUAUGGUCUUUUUAAUAAUUUCUCUAAAGUUUAUGUGUUUCGUGACUGAAUACCUCCCCUAUACCUCCCCUUCCUCUUUUCAGCCUCACAGAAAUACUGACAGGGAUGUCACUAUUGAUCAUCAUAAAAAUACAUUUUAAUGUUUUUAUUAACUGGUAGCAGUGGAUAUGAAAAGUGGUAAAAUUAGGUCAUUAACCAAUGUCAAUGAUUGCUGGAGCAAAUAAAUAAAUAUUGGUGUUGUCUCCCACUUACCUUCAUAAAAACCUACAGACCAAAAACACAGAAAAAGGUUGGGUUUAUUCCUGCCAGUAAGAAGAGAACACAUGUUAGAGGUGUGAAUGGGACAAUAAACAAACAUCUGACAUAUUUGGCUGCUUUAACAAGUUAUCCUGAUGAGUACAUAGGUUACUGCACAGGCUGGAUCUGAACACUGGAUCUGGCUGUACAAUUCCAGUCAGGUGUCAGUCAUAAACUCCUUGAAAGCCUUUUGAAGAAGGUAACGUUUCUCAUGUCUGGGUGCACUUCCAGAAGUGAUUAAGCCACUGUCAUUGCCAUACUCUGCCCUUCAGUGGCACAUCUUUGCAUUCCAACUUGGCUGUAGCAUUAGAGCUGCCUGUGAGCGGAGCUGCGAGGAGGAAAUGGCAGCACAGUCAUCCAAGCAGUCCAUGAGUCACAGCCAUAAUGGAAUCCAGGCUUGGAGCUGCAAACGCCAGCUAGGUGAAGGAUUGGGUUCUGGAGUUAGGAAACAGCAAAUUUUGGAAUGCUUUUGAACCUCAGUCUGGGUCAAAGAUUGGCAAAUCAAAAGCUGCUCAUUUGUCAUGACCAGAUUCAGUCAGCUCUCCCUGCUUGCUUUUGUUUCGGCAAACUGAAGCUGCAGAUGCCAUAUGGUUGGAGAAAAAAGGGUUUGGAGGAUGCACGUGUGCUGAUGACAGUAAAAACAAAAUGGCCUUUUACAAAUCAU
rnacentral:lncRNA from 1 species